rnacentral:rRNA from 1 species
AUAGAACGCUGGCGGCAGGCCUAACACAUGCAAGUCGAGCGGCAGCGGGAAAGUAGCUUGCUACUUUUGCCGGCGAGCGGCGGACGGGUGAGUAAUGCCUGGGAAAUUGCCCAGUCGAGGGGGAUAACAGUUGGAAACGACUGCUAAUACCGCAUACGCCCUACGGGGGAAAGCAGGGGACCUUCGGGCCUUGCGCGAUUGGAUAUGCCCAGGUGGGAUUAGCUAGUUGGUGAGGUAAUGGCUCACCAAGGCGACGGUCCCUAGCUGGUCUGAGAGGAUGAUCAGCCACACUGGAACUGAGACACGGUCCAGACUCCUACGGGAGGCAGCAGUGGGGAAUAUUGCACAAUGGGGGAAACCCUGAUGCAGACAUGCCGCGUGUGUGAAGAAGGCCUUCGGGUUGUAAAGCACUUUCAGCGAGGAGGAAAGGUUGAUGCCUAAUACGUAUCAACUGUGACGUUACUCGCAGAAGAAGCACCGGCUAACUCCGUGCCAGCCGCCGCCGUAA